CACAAGUUUGGUCCCGACUUUAUUGUCAGCUCUAACUGAGUUUAUACAUGCAAGUCUCCGCACCCCCGUGAGAAUGCCCUUUACCCCCUGCCCGGGGACAAGGAGCUGGCAUCAGGCACCCUUCCGCCCAAAACGCCUUGCUAAGCCACACCCCCAUAGGGAGCCCAGCAGUAAUAGACCUUAAGCCAUGAGCGAAAGCUUGACUUAGCCAAAGUUACACCCCAGGGUCGGUAAAACUCGUGCCAGCCACCGCGGUUAGACGAGAGACCCAAGUUGACAUCAAACGGCGUAAAGAGUGGUUAAGAACCUUCCAAACUAAAGCUAAACCCCCUCCUGGCCGUUAUACGCAUCCGAAAGGGUGAGACACCACUACAAAAGUAGCUUUAUAAUUACCUGACUCCACGACAGUUAAGAAACAAACUGGGAUUAGAUACCCCACUAUGCUUAACUACAAACACUGAUGUAAUACACAACUACAUCCGCCAGGAAACUACGAGCAAGGCUUGAAACCCAAAGGACUUGGCGGUGUCUCAGAUCCCCCUAGAGGAGCCUGUUCUAGAACCGAUAAUCCCCGUUCAACCUCUCCUUCUCUUGUUUAUUCUGCCUAUAUACCACCGUCGCCAGCUUACCCCUCAAGGGCAUCAUAGAAAGCAAAACGGGCACAACCCAGAACGUCAGGUCGAGGUGUAGCGUAUGAGAAGGUAAUAAUGGGCUACAUUUCCUAACCCAGGAUACUACAGACGACACUGUGAAAUCAGUGCCCCAAGGUGGAUUUAGUAGUAAGAAAAGAACAGAGCGCUUCUCUGAAACUGGCCCUGAGAUGCGUACAUACCGCCCGUCACUCCCCCCUCAGCCUUAAGAGCAAUAAUUAAAAAUAAAGCCUGACUAAGGAGGGACAAGUCGUAACAUGGUAAGUGUACCGGAAGGUGCCCUUGGAUAAU
rnacentral:ncRNA from 1 species